rnacentral:rRNA from 1 species
AACGAACGCUGGCGGCAGGCUUAACACAUGCAAGUCGAACGCCCCGCAAGGGGAGUGGCAGACGGGUGAGUAACGCGUGGGAACAUACCCUUUCCUGCGGAAUAGCCCCGGGAAACUGGAAUUAAUACCGCAUACGCCCUACGGGGGAAAGAUUUAUCGGGGAAGGAUUGGCCCGCGUUGGAUUAGCUAGUUGGUGGGGUAAAGGCCUACCAAGGCGACGACACAUAGCUGGUCUGAGAGGAUGAUCAGCCACAUUGGGGCUGAGACACGGCCCAAACUCCUACGGGAGGCAGCAGUGGGGAAUAUUGGACAAUGGGCGCAAGCCUGAUCCAGCCAUGCCGCGUGAGUUAUGAAGGCCUUAGGGUUGUAAUGCUCUUUCACCGAUGAAGAUAAUGACGGUAGUCGGAGAAGAAGCCCCGGCUAACUUCGUG